rnacentral:sRNA from 1 species
CAGAGAAGUAUGAUUAGUCAUGUUCUCUGAUGUGAUUUAGUAAUUGUCAUUUGUCUAUUAUUAGGUGAAAUUUUCUAGCUGAAUUUUUCCAAAGAUGAAUAAACA